GACGAACGCUGGCGGCGUGCUUAACACAUGCAAGUCGAACGCUGAAGCUUGGUGCUUGCCCUGGGUGGAUGAGUGGCGAACGGGUGAGUAAUACGUGAGUAACCUGCCCUUGACUCUGGGAUAAGCCUGGGAAACUGGGUCUAAUACUGGAUACGACAUGCCACUGCAUGGUGGUGUGUGGAAAGGGUUUUACUGGUUUUGGAUGGGCUCACGGCCUAUCAGCUUGUUGGUGGGGUAAUGGCCUACCAAGGCGACGACGGGUAGCCGGCCUGAGAGGGUGACCGGCCACACUGGGACUGAGACACGGCCCAGACUCCUACGAGAGGCAGCAGUGGGGAAUAUUGCACAAUGGGCGGAAGCCUGAUGCAGCGACGCCGCGUGAGGGAUGACGGCCUUCGGGUUGUAAACCUCUUUCAGCACGGAAGAAGCGAGAGUGACGGUACGUGCAGAAGAAGCGCCGGCUAACUACGUG
rnacentral:rRNA from 1 species